AUGGAGGUGGAGGCGAGGUACACGGCGCUGCGGCGCGCGGUGGAGGAGGUGGCGGCGGUGGACGCGCACGCGCACAACCUCGUCGCCGGAGGCUCCGCGUUCCCCUUCCUCCGCUGCUUCUCCGAGGCCGAGGGGACGCGCUCGGGCUCGCGCCCCACACCCUCUCCUUCAAGAAUCAAACCCUGCCGAUUACGCUUCCAAACUCAAAAGGCUACCGCAGAACCUGCAGGAAUAUGUAGAAUCGCUUUCUGCAGAUGAAGUUUUGCAUGAACUAAUUGGAGAUAAACUUGUCACAUCCGCUAUAGCUAUACGGAAGGCUGAGAUCGACCACUACGCGAAGAAUCCCGUGGUGUUUAACGAUCUCAUCCACCGUUACUAGGACCAAAGAAUGAAAUGUUGUUGCUGAGAGACUACGUUUCUUUAGAGACUACGUGGAAGAAUAAAUUUUGUUCCAAGGGUUAUUUCAAACUCUCGUGUUCUGUGACUGAACUUG